rnacentral:rRNA from 1 species
UGGGGAAUAUUGGGCAAUGGGCGAAAGCCUGACCCAGCCACGCCGCGUGAGUGAUGAAGGCUUUCGGGUCGUAAAGCUCUGUGGGGAGGGACGAAUCAGUCGUCGGAAUAAUACCUGACGGCCCUGACGGUACCUCCUUAGCAAGCACCGGCUAACUCCGUGCCAGCAGCCGCGGUAAUACGGAGGGUGCAAACGUUGCUCGGAAUCAUUGGGCGUAAAGCGCACGUAGGCGGCCUAGCAAGUCGGGUGUGAAAUCCCUCGGCUUAACCGAGGAAGUGCAUUCGAAACUACUGGGCUUGAAUACUCAAGAGGGUCUCGGAAUUCCCGGUGUAGAGGUGAAAUUCGUAGAUAUCGGGAGGAACACCAGUGGCGAAGGCGGAGACCUGGGGAGAUAUUGACGCUGAGGUGCGAAAGCGUGGGGAGCAAACAG